GACGAACCGUCCAAACGUUAUUCGGAAUUACUGGGCUUAAAGGGUGCGUAGGCGGCGCGGAAAGUUGGGUGUGAAAUCCCUCGGCUCAACCGAGGAACUGCGCCCAAUACUACCGUACUUGAGGGAGAUAGAGGUGAGCGGAACUUGAGGGUGGAGCGGUGAAAUGCGUUGAUAUCCUAAGGAACACCGGUGGCGAAAGCGGCUCACUGGAUCUCUUCUGACGCUGAGGCACGAAAGCUAGGUAGCGAACGGG
rnacentral:rRNA from 1 species